AGUGAACGCUGGCGGUAGGCCUAACACAUGCAAGUCGAACGGCAGCACAGUAAGAGCUUGCUCUUACGGGUGGCGAGUAGCGGACGGGUGAGGAAUACAUCGGAAUCUACUUUUUCGUGGGGGAUAACGUAGGGAAACUUACGCUAAUACCGCAUACGACCUACGGGUGAAAGCAGGGGAUCUUCGGACCUUGCGCGAUUGAAUGAGCCGAUGUCGGAUUAGCUAGUUGGCGGGGUAAAGGCCCACCAAGGCGACGAUCCGUAGCUGGUCUGAGAGGAUGAUCCGCCACACUGGAACUGCGACACGGUCCAGACUCCUACGGGAGGCAGCAGUGGGGAAUAUUGGACAAUGGGCGCAAGCCUGAUCCAGCCAUACCGCGUGGGUGAAGAAGGCCUUCGGGUUGUAAAGCCCUUUUGUUGGGAAAGAAAAGCAGCAGGUUAAUACCCCGCUGUUCUGACGGUACCCAAAGAAUAAGCACCGGCUAACUUCGUG
rnacentral:rRNA from 1 species